rnacentral:tRNA from 1 species
GCCCUAGUGGUGCAAUGGUUAAGCACUCAGCCGCUAACUCAAAGGCUGGUGGUUCAAACCCACCCAGUGGCU